CCUACGGGAGGCAGCAGUGAGGAAUAUUGGUCAAUGGACGGAAGUCUGAACCAGCCAUGCCGCGUGCAGGAUGACGGUUCCAUGAGUUGUAAACUUCUUUUGUCCAAGGCCAAACUCAGACUCGAGUACCUGUCCGAAGGUACUUGACGAAUAAGGAUCGGCUAACUCCGUGCCAGCAGCCGUGGUAAUACGGAGGAUUCAAGCGUUAUCCGGAUUUAUUGGGUUUAAAGGGUGCGUAGGCGGUCUGUUAAGUUAGAGGUGAAAUCCCGAGGCUCAACUUCGGGAUUGCCGUUGAAACUGUUCGUCUAGAGAGGAGGUGCGGUAGGCGGAAUGCGUGGUGUAGCGGUGAAAUGCUUAGAGAUCGUACAGAACACCGAUUGCGAAGGCAGCAUACC
rnacentral:rRNA from 1 species